UGAUCAACAAGUUUUUAAAAAGGGAAACAAAUGCAUGGUUCAAAUUUCUUAACAGUUCAUUCAAAGUAAUGCUUACUACUAUACUACAAUGAUACCAUGAUCAUGAAACAAACUCUAAUUGUUACACGUUUUUCUCAAACAUUCACAACUUCAUUCACGUUUUUCUCUUUGCUCAAUUGUUACACCAUCUCACACAACUUAUUAGCACAAGUUAUUUGCUAUUUUUUAUUUUUCAAGGCUUUUUCUUUUUCUUUUAUUUUUCUUUUCUUUUUCUUUUCUUUUUUAGUUUUCUCAUUAUUUUACAAAUUUUUAUUUUUCUUUCUUGACCUCUGAUGCAACCAACCUUU
rnacentral:lncRNA from 1 species